AAACAUAAGAAAAUAGGCAAGUUCAACAAACAAUCAAGUGACAGAAAAUGAUAAUGGAGAUCCCUUGAGAGCUUAAGUACAAUACAAAGAAUAUGAACGAUUAACUUUAUAAGGAACUAUAACGGAGACGAAAUAAUACCGGAAUAGUCUUGACUAUAGGUUUGUUACAAGUCAGCCUUCCCCUGUAGCAACCAAACAUCUUCAAGCAAUUAUAAAAAAAAAAUACAUUGCAAAAUCUUAGUGAGUAUCAUCAAAAUUUAAACAAAGUAAAUAGUUGCAAAAGAAUAGUCAGUAUCAUCAAAAUUGAGCACUGUAUCAUAAUACAAAUGCACAAUCACUAACUCAAAUGUAGAAUCCAGAGAAAGAGCGAUGACUUGAUUUUGCAGAAAUCGUGAAUCAACUUAACACUUCUAUGAAGAAUUGAUUCACAUCAAAACUCAACGGCCUCGUUGUCCCUCUUUCGUCAAUGGAAAAAAAAUACCUUGCUUUGUCAUGUCCACCACAACUCAAAAGUCAAUUAAACUCUUACAUGGAAACUCAUCAACCGCUCAACAUUCACUGCCAUAGUUGCCGUGAAACUAAAAAUUUAGGGAAAACGUUCCUAAUCCUAUUCUUAAAUUUUUUUUGUCGAAUUUAAAUGUUCUUUAAAACCUAGUUUCAAAUUAUUAAAAGAUAUGCGAGAGAGACAAAAAUCGAUUGCCGUCAAACUGAAAAAGGGGGAAAACAUUCCUAGCCCUAACCUCUUUUUGCCGAACGGAAAUUGUCUGCAAACCCUAGUCGCAGGAAGAUUGAAACGAUUUCGCGGGGGGGGGGGGGGGAUAGUUGGGGGGGGGGGAAUUUUAAGAGAAAAUGGAGGAACUAACCUGCAUAAUUUUUUACUCAAUAAACUCUCCCCUUCU
rnacentral:lncRNA from 1 species